GGGAAAAGUGUGAAAAUUCAAGUAAUCAAGCAAUCAAAGGUGGUGAGCCAUCUAACAAGAGUAAAGACGUUGUGUCAAAGGAUUGAGAAUAUGAGUAUUUCAAACUCCUGAUACUUGGCGAGUUUUCUGUGGACCAGCCUAUUAGAGGAGCA
rnacentral:sRNA from 1 species